GAUCAGCAUUGUAUAGUUAAUGAAUGACAACUUGACGAGAUCUUGACACGCACGUUGGAAGUGUACGCGUGUUUGCACCUCGAUGAGCGUUGCACAAUAACAAAGCUCCGUUGGUGAGCGUAUUGAUUAAUAAAGCUAGGUGAAGUCCUUGAGUGCCUCAAGAAGGAAUCGCCGAGCAUCGUCAUACAGUAUUUUUUCCUUCAACAAUUAAUCUUGCAUCUCCAACCGUGGAAUGAGUUACAUGUGACUCGAGACAAACAAACAGUGCAAUUGCAACAAUAUAAUUAGUCAGCGGUAUGGUCACUAUCAGCAGCUUUACACACAGUGUGCAUCGUGAAUACACCAAUCCCAGAGAAAACAUUCCAAUGGAAAAUAUUGAGAAUUUCUGCCCUUCUAUCCUGAACUACACAAUGCUGGUUUGCAUAAAUAGGCAUAAAAAAACAUAUCAACAGUAUUUUUAGUUUGCAGUUUGCUUUAACAUACAACUCUAUGGCAUGUU
rnacentral:lncRNA from 1 species